rnacentral:rRNA from 1 species
CUAUCAUUAACUGAAUCCAUAGGUUAAUGAGGCGAACCGGGGGAACUGAAACAUCUAAGUACCCCGAGGAAAAGAAAUCAACCGAGAUUCCCCCAGUAGCGGCGAGCGAACGGGGAGGAGCCCAGAGCCUGAAUCAGUGUGUGUGUUAGUGGAAGCGUCUGGAAAGGCGCGCGAUACAGGGUGACAGCCCCGUACACAAAAAUGCACAUACUGUGAGCUCGAUGAGUAGGGCGGGACACGUGGUAUCCUGUCUGAAUAUGGGGGGACCAUCCUCCAAGGCUAAAUACUCCUGACUGACCGAUAGUGAACCAGUACCGUGAGGGAAAGGCGAAAAGAACCCCGGCGAGGGGAGUGAAAAAGAACCUGAAACCGUGUACGUACAAGCAGUGGGAGCCUCUUAAUGGGGUGACUGCGUACCUUUUGUAUAAUGGGUCAGCGACUUAUAUUCUGUAGCAAGGUUAACCGAAUAGGGGAGCCGAAGGGAAACCGAGUCUUAACUGGGCGUUAAGUUGCAGGGUAUAGACCCGAAACCCGGUGAUCUAGCCAUGGGCAGGUUGAAGGUUGGGUAACACUAACUGGAGGACCGAACCGACUAAUGUUGAAAAAUUAGCGGAUGACUUGUGGCUGGGGGUGAAAGGCCAAUCAAACCGGGAGAUAGCUGGUUCUCCCCGAAAGCUAUUUAGGUAGCGCCUCGUGAAUUCAUCUCCGGGGGUAGAGCACUGUUUCGGCAAGGGGGUCAUCCCGACUUACCAACCCGAUGCAAACUGCGAAUACCGGAGAAUGUUAUCACGGGAGACACACGGCGGGUGCUAACGUCCGUCGUGAAGAGGGAAACAACCCAGACCGCCAGCUAAGGUCCCAAAGUCAUGGUUAAGUGGGAAACGAUGUGGGAAGGCCCAGACAGCCAGGAUGUUGGCUUAGAAGCAGCCAUCAUUUAAAGAAAGCGUAAUAGCUCACUGGUCGAGUCGGCCUGCGCGGAAGAUGUAACGGGGCUAAACCAUGCACCGAAGCUGCGGCAGCGACACUAUGUGUUGUUGGGUAGGGGAGCGUUCUGUAAGCCUGUGAAGGUGUACUGUGAGGUAUGCUGGAGGUAUCAGAAGUGCGAAUGCUGACAUAAGUAACGAUAAAGCGGGUGAAAAGCCCGCUCGCCGGAAGACCAAGGGUUCCUGUCCAACGUUAAUCGGGGCAGGGUGAGUCGACCCCUAAGGCGAGGCCGAAAGGCGUAGUCGAUGGGAAACAGGUUAAUAUUCCUGUACUUGGUGUUACUGCGAAGGGGGGACGGAGAAGGCUAUGUUGGCCGGGCGACGGUUGUCCCGGUUUAAGCGUGUAGGCUGGUUUUCCAGGCAAAUCCGGAAAAUCAAGGCUGAGGCGUGAUGACGAGGCACUACGGUGCUGAAGCGACAAAUGCCCUGCUUCCAGGAAAAGCCUCUAAGCAUCAGGUAACAUCAAAUCGUACCCCAAACCGACACAGGUGGUCAGGUAGAGAAUACCAAGGCGCUUGAGAGAACUCGGGUGAAGGAACUAGGCAAAAUGGUGCCGUAACUUCGGGAGAAGGCACGCUGAUAUGUAGGUGAAGCGACUUGCUCGUGGAGCUGAAAUCAGUCGAAGAUACCAGCUGGCUGCAACUGUUUAUUAAAAACACAGCACUGUGCAAACACGAAAGUGGACGUAUACGGUGUGACGCCUGCCCGGUGCCGGAAGGUUAAUUGAUGGGGUUAGCGGUAACGCGAAGCUCUUGAUCGAAGCCCCGGUAAACGGCGGCCGUAACUAUAACGGUCCUAAGGUAGCGAAAUUCCUUGUCGGGUAAGUUCCGACCUGCACGAAUGGCGUAAUGAUGGCCAGGCUGUCUCCACCCGAGACUCAGUGAAAUUGAACUCGCUGUGAAGAUGCAGUGUACCCGCGGCAAGACGGAAAGACCCCGUGAACCUUUACUAUAGCUUGACACUGAACAUUGAGCCUUGAUGUGUAGGAUAGGUGGGAGGCUUUGAAGUGUGGACGCCAGUCUGCAUGGAGCCGACCUUGAAAUACCACCCUUUAAUGUUUGAUGUUCUAACGUGGGCCCCUUACCGGGGUUGCGGACAGUGUCUGGUGGGUAGUUUGACUGGGGCGGUCUCCUCCUAAAGAGUAACGGAGGAGCACGAAGGUUGGCUAAUCCUGGUCGGACAUCAGGAGGUUAGUGCAAUGGCAUAAGCCAGCUUGACUGCGAGCGUGACGGCGCGAGCAGGUGCGAAAGCAGGUCAUAGUGAUCCGGUGGUUCUGAAUGGAAGGGCCAUCGCUCAACGGAUAAAAGGUACUCCGGGGAUAACAGGCUGAUACCGCCCAAGAGUUCAUAUCGACGGCGGUGUUUGGCACCUCGAUGUCGGCUCAUCACAUCCUGGGGCUGAAGUAGGUCCCAAGGGUAUGGCUGUUCGCCAUUUAAAGUGGUACGCGAGCUGGGUUUAGAACGUCGUGAGACAGUUCGGUCCCUAUCUGCCGUGGGCGCUGGAGAACUGAGGGGGGCUGCUCCUAGUACGAGAGGACCGGAGUGGACGCAUCACUGGUGUUCGGGUUGUCAUGCCAAUGGCACUGCCCGGUAGCUAAAUGCGGAAGAGAUAAGUGCUGAAAGCAUCUAAGCACGAAACUUGCCCCGAGAUGAGUUCUCCCUGACUCCUUGAGAGUCCUGAAGGAACGUUGAAGACGACGACGUUGAUAGGCCGGGUGUGUAAGCGCAGCGAUGCGUUGAGCUAACCGGUACUAAUGAACCGUGAGGCUUAACCUU